AUUGAACGCUGGCGGCAGGCCUAACACAUGCAAGUCGAGCGAGCGGCGGACGGGUGCGUAAUGUAUGGGGACUGCCCGAUAGAGGGGGAUAACUACUGGAAACGGUGGCUAAUACCGCAUACUAUCGGAUAACCCAUAGGGGAUUAGCUCGUAGGUGGGGUAACGGCUCACCUAGGCGACGCUCUCUAGCUGGUCUGAGAGGAUGAUCAGCCACAAUGGGACUGAGACACGGGCCAGACUCCUACGGAGGCAGCAGUGGGGAAUAUUGCACAAGGGGCGCAAGCCUGAUGCAGCCAUGUCGAGGGUAGGAAGAAGGCCGUAGGGUUGGAAAGUACUUUCAGCGUGGAGGCGUUACCAGCAGAAGAAGCACCGGCGAACUCCGUGCCAGCAGCCGCGGUAAUAC
rnacentral:rRNA from 1 species